GUCUUGUAAUUGGAAUGAUGGUGACCUAAACCCUCACCAGAGUAACAAUUGGAGGGCAAGUCUGGUGCCAGCAGCCGCGGUAAUUCCAGCUCCAAUAGCGUAUAUUAAACUUGUUGCAGUUAAAAAGCUCGUAGUUGAAUUUCUGCGUUAUCGAGUUAUUGACUCUUGUCUUUAAUCGAUUUCGCUUUUGGGAUUUAUCCCUUUUUACUUUGAGAAAAUUAGAGUGUUUCAAGCAGACUUUUGUCUUGAAUACUUCAGCAUGGAAUAAUAGAGUAGGACUUUGGUUCUAUUUUGUUGGUUUUUGAACCUUAGUAAUGGUUAAUAGGAACGGUUGGGGGCAUUCGUAUUUAACUGUCAGAGGUGAAAUUCUUAGAUUUGUUAAAGACGAACUACUGCGAAAGCAUUUGCCAAGGACGUUCCAUUAAUCAAGAACGAAAGUUAGGGGAUCGAAGACGAUCAGAUACCGUCGUAGUCCGUCGUAGUCCUAACCAUAAACUA
rnacentral:rRNA from 1 species